GGGUUGUGAGGUUAAGCGACUAAGCGUACACGGUGGAUGCCCUGGCAGUCAGAGGCGAUGAAGGACGUGCUAAUCUGCGAUAAGCGUCGGUAAGGUGAUAUGAACCGUUAUAACCGGCGAUUUCCGAAUGGGGAAACCCAGUGUGUUUCGACACACUAUCAUUAACUGAAUCCAUAGGUUAAUGAGGCGAACCGGGGGAACUGAAACAUCUAAGUACCCCGAGGAAAAGAAAUCAACCGAGAUUCCCCCAGUAGCGGCGAGCGAACGGGGAGCAGCCCAGAGCCUGAAUCAGUGUGUGUGUUAGUGGAAGCGUCUGGAAAGGCGCGCGAUACAGGGUGACAGCCCCGUACACAAAAAUGCACAUGCUGUGAGCUCGAUGAGUAGGGCGGGACACGUGGUAUCCUGUCUGAAUAUGGGGGGACCAUCCUCCAAGGCUAAAUACUCCUGACUGACCGAUAGUGAACCAGUACCGUGAGGGAAAGGCGAAAAGAACCCCGGCGAGGGGAGUGAAAAAGAACCUGAAACCGUGUACGUACAAGCAGUGGGAGCACGCUUCGGCGUGUGACUGCGUACCUUUUGUAUAAUGGGUCAGCGACUUAUAUUCUGUAGCAAGGUUAACCGAAUAGGGGAGCCGAAGGGAAACCGAGUCUUAACUGGGCGUUAAGUUGCAGGGUAUAGACCCGAAACCCGGUGAUCUAGCCAUGGGCAGGUUGAAGGUUGGGUAACACUAACUGGAGGACCGAACCGACUAAUGUUGAAAAAUUAGCGGAUGACUUGUGGCUGGGGGUGAAAGGCCAAUCAAACCGGGAGAUAGCUGGUUCUCCCCGAAAGCUAUUUAGGUAGCGCCUCGUGAAUUCAUCUCCGGGGGUAGAGCACUGUUUCGGCAAGGGGGUCAUCCCGACUUACCAACCCGAUGCAAACUGCGAAUACCGGAGAAUGUUAUCACGGGAGACACACGGCGGGUGCUAACGUCCGUCGUGAAGAGGGAAACAACCCAGACCGCCAGCUAAGGUCCCAAAGUCAUGGUUAAGUGGGAAACGAUGUGGGAAGGCCCAGACAGCCAGGAUGUUGGCUUAGAAGCAGCCAUCAUUUAAAGAAAGCGUAAUAGCUCACUGGUCGAGUCGGCCUGCGCGGAAGAUGUAACGGGGCUAAACCAUGCACCGAAGCUGCGGCAGCGACACUAUGUGUUGUUGGGUAGGGGAGCGUUCUGUAAGCCUGUGAAGGUGUACUGUGAGGUAUGCUGGAGGUAUCAGAAGUGCGAAUGCUGACAUAAGUAACGAUAAAGCGGGUGAAAAGCCCGCUCGCCGGAAGACCAAGGGUUCCUGUCCAACGUUAAUCGGGGCAGGGUGAGUCGACCCCUAAGGCGAGGCCGAAAGGCGUAGUCGAUGGGAAACAGGUUAAUAUUCCUGUACUUGGUGUUACUGCGAAGGGGGGACGGAGAAGGCUAUGUUGGCCGGGCGACGGUUGUCCCGGUUUAAGCGUGUAGGCUGGUUUUCCAGGCAAAUCCGGAAAAUCAAGGCUGAGGCGUGAUGACGAGGCACUACGGUGCUGAAGCAACAAAUGCCCUGCUUCCAGGAAAAGCCUCUAAGCAUCAGGUAACAUCAAAUCGUACCCCAAACCGACACAGGUGGUCAGGUAGAGAAUACCAAGGCGCUUGAGAGAACUCGGGUGAAGGAACUAGGCAAAAUGGUGCCGUAACUUCGGGAGAAGGCACGCUGAUAUGUAGGUGAAGUCCCUUGCGGAUGGAGCUGAAAUCAGUCGAAGAUACCAGCUGGCUGCAACUGUUUAUUAAAAACACAGCACUGUGCAAACACGAAAGUGGACGUAUACGGUGUGACGCCUGCCCGGUGCCGGAAGGUUAAUUGAUGGGGUUAGCGGUAACGCGAAGCUCUUGAUCGAAGCCCCGGUAAACGGCGGCCGUAACUAUAACGGUCCUAAGGUAGCGAAAUUCCUUGUCGGGUAAGUUCCGACCUGCACGAAUGGCGUAAUGAUGGCCAGGCUGUCUCCACCCGAGACUCAGUGAAAUUGAACUCGCUGUGAAGAUGCAGUGUACCCGCGGCAAGACGGAAAGACCCCGUGAACCUUUACUAUAGCUUGACACUGAACAUUGAGCCUUGAUGUGUAGGAUAGGUGGGAGGCUUUGAAGUGUGGACGCCAGUCUGCAUGGAGCCGACCUUGAAAUACCACCCUUUAAUGUUUGAUGUUCUAACGUUGGCCCCUGAUCGGGGUUGCGGACAGUGUCUGGUGGGUAGUUUGACUGGGGCGGUCUCCUCCUAAAGAGUAACGGAGGAGCACGAAGGUUGGCUAAUCCUGGUCGGACAUCAGGAGGUUAGUGCAAUGGCAUAAGCCAGCUUGACUGCGAGCGUGACGGCGCGAGCAGGUGCGAAAGCAGGUCAUAGUGAUCCGGUGGUUCUGAAUGGAAGGGCCAUCGCUCAACGGAUAAAAGGUACUCCGGGGAUAACAGGCUGAUACCGCCCAAGAGUUCAUAUCGACGGCGGUGUUUGGCACCUCGAUGUCGGCUCAUCACAUCCUGGGGCUGAAGUAGGUCCCAAGGGUAUGGCUGUUCGCCAUUUAAAGUGGUACGCGAGCUGGGUUUAGAACGUCGUGAGACAGUUCGGUCCCUAUCUGCCGUGGGCGCUGGAGAACUGAGGGGGGCUGCUCCUAGUACGAGAGGACCGGAGUGGACGCAUCACUGGUGUUCGGGUUGUCAUGCCAAUGGCACUGCCCGGUAGCUAAAUGCGGAAGAGAUAAGUGCUGAAAGCAUCUAAGCACGAAACUUGCCCCGAGAUGAGUUCUCCCUGACCCUUUAAGGGUCCUGAAGGAACGUUGAAGACGACGACGUUGAUAGGCCGGGUGUGUAAGCGCAGCGAUGCGUUGAGCUAACCGGUACUAAUGAACCGUGAGGCUUAACCUUACAACGCCGAAG
rnacentral:rRNA from 1 species